rnacentral:rRNA from 1 species
UGGGGAAUAUUGGACAAUGGGCGAAAGCCUGAUCCAGCCAUGCCGCGUGUGUGAAGAAGGCCUUCGGGUUGUAAAGCACUUUAAGCGGGGAGGAAGGGCUUCUGGCUAAUAUCCAGGAGCAUUGACGUUACCCGCAGAAUAAGCACCGGCUAACUCUGUG